rnacentral:rRNA from 1 species
UACGUAGGUGGCAAGCGUUAUCCGGAAUUAUUGGGCGUAAAGAGCGCGCAGGUGGUUGAUUAAGUCUGAUGUGAAAGCCCACGGCUCAACCGUGGAAGGUCAUUGGAAACUGGGGAACUUGAGUGCAGAAGAGGAGAGUGGAAUUCCAUGUGUAGCGGUGAAAUGCGUAGAUAUAUGGAGGAACACCAGUGGCGAAGGCGACUCUCUGGUCUGUAACUGACGCUGAGGCUCGAAAGCGUGGGGAGCGAACAGGAUUA